rnacentral:rRNA from 1 species
AGAGUUUGAUCAUGGCUCAGGAUGAACGCUAGCUACAGGCUUAACACAUGCAAGUCGAGGGGAAACGACAUCGAAAGCUUGCUUUUGAUGGGCGUCGACCGGCGCACGGGUGAGUAACGCGUAUCCAACCUGCCUUACACGUCUUGGACAGACCUUCUGAAAGGGAGAUUAAUACAAGAUGUUAUCAUGAGUAAGCAUUUUCGCAUGAUUAAAGGUUUACCGGUGUAAGAUGGGGAUGCGUUCCAUUAGAUAGUAGGCGGGGUAACGGCCCACCUAGUCUUCGAUGGAUAGGGGUUCUGAGAGGAAGGUCCCCCACAUUGGAACUGAGACACGGUCCAAACUCCUACGGGAGGCAGCA